AUUGAACGCUGGCGGCAGGCUUAACACAUGCAAGUCGAGCGGGGGAAGGUAGCUUGCUACCGGACCUAGCGGCGGACGGGUGAGUAAUGCUUAGGAAUCUGCCUAUUAGUGGGGGACAACAUCUCGAAAGGGAUGCUAAUACCGCAUACGUCCUACGGGAGAAAGCAGGGGAUCUUCGGACCUUGCGCUAAUAGAUGAGCCUAAGUCGGAUUAGCUAGUUGGUGGGGUAAAGGCCUACCAAGGCGACGAUCUGUAGCGGGUCUGAGAGGAUGCUCCGCCACACUGGGACUGAGAAACGGCCCAGACUCCUACGGGAGGCAGCAGUUGGGAAUAUUGGACAAUGGGGGGAACCCUGAUCCAGCCAUGCCGCAUGUGUGAAGAAGGCCUUAUGGUUGUAAAGCACUUUAAGCGAGGAGGAGGUUACUCUAGUUAAUACCUAGGGAUAGUGGACGUUACUCGCAGAAUAAGCACCGGCUAACUCUGUGCCAGCCGCCGCCGUAA
rnacentral:rRNA from 1 species